AAAGGGCUAGUUAAGUAAUAACAUUAAACUGUCAAAUUAAAAUCACUACAAGUGCCCUUUG
rnacentral:tRNA from 1 species